rnacentral:rRNA from 1 species
GUCAGCAGCUGUAUCACCCUGCACCCUCACAGCUGGCAGCCCACUGAAGCUCAGCAGGUGUGAGCCUGGUCAGUACCUCGAUGGGAGACCUCCUGGGAAAAACUAUGGUUGCUGCUGGAA